rnacentral:rRNA from 1 species
GACGAACGCUGGCGGCGUGCUUAACACAUGCAAGUCGAACGGAAAGGCCCUGCUUUUGUGGGGUGCUCGAGUGGCGAACGGGUGAGUAACACGUGAGUAACCUGCCCUUGACUUUGGGAUAACUUCAGGAAACUGGUGCUAAUACCGGAUAGGAGCUCCUGCUGCAUGGUGGGGGUUGGAAAGUUUCGGCGGUUGGGGAUGGACUCGCGGCUUAUCAGCUUGUUGGUGGGGUAUUGGCUUACCAAGGCUUUGACGGGUAGCCGGCCUGAGAGGGUGAACGGGCAAAAUGGGACUGAGAAAAGGGCCAGAAUCCAACGGGAGGCAGGAGUGGGGAAUAUUGCAAAAUGGGCGGAAGCCUGAUGCAGCAACGCCGGGUGCGGGAUGACGGGCUUCGGGUUGUAAACCGCAUUCGCCUGUGACGAAGCGUGAGUGACGGUAAUGGGUAAAGAAGCACCGGCUAACUACGUG